rnacentral:lncRNA from 1 species
UGGAGGAGGUCGAGGUUACUGCUAUCACGGAUGCUGCUACAGAGGAUACAAUGGCUGCAGAAGGUGUUGCUCGUACGCUGGAGAAGCUGUUCAGACUCAGCCUGGUCACUAAAACAAUACAACCUAUUCACCAAACGAUGCAUGAUUACAUUAUGUGUGUCUCACUUUAAGUAAAGCCAUGGUGCCUUUGUAAUGAAGUGCCUCAAGUCUUUGAGGCAUGAUGGAAUAAAAAGUAUAACCUGUGGGAAUAAAGUUUGAUAAUGUAAUGCUUAUGUGUUUUGAGUUGUAAUAUGUGCACGUUUUGUCACAAAAAGAAGAAGAUUGUGUGUACUGUAUGUUAAUCUCUUUCAGGUUUUUUUGUGUGGGUAAUAGUGUGAUAUGUACUUUGUUCCAGCAUUAUUCAUACACAUGAUACAUGCUGAAUUAAAGCAUAUAUAACCGGGUCAGAAUUAGGCAUGACCGCGUUACGAUUAUCUACGGUUUAUUAACCACCGGUUACGGUUAUAAAUUUUCUUUAACCAUAACCUUAACCUUUAUAUAUAGGGUCACAACGAUUACGGUUAUACACAAUUACCGUUAAAUCCGGUUACGGUUAAAUAUGGGUACGGUUAAUUGAUAAUUAUGAUAUAUAUAAUAUUAUAAGCAAAAUUUUAUAUUUUUUUACCAUAUCAAAUAAUUUUUAUUUACAAUAUGAAAUAUAUGUAAUUAUAUGAUUCAAAUAUUUAUAGUAUAUCAGUUAAAGAAAUUAUUUUUGUUUAAUCAAACACAACUACAAAUAUAUAAAUUAAUGGUUAUGAACCUACAACUAUUUAAAAUUAAAUUAUUUUUGAUUUGAUUAAUGGAAAUGAGAAGUGGAGUGGGUAAGAGUUACUAGUUUACACAUUUACUCAUUUAAAUUUUUUUUUUGAUGAAAUAAUUUUAUUAAAGGUUUAACCGUACGGUUAAUUAUAUGGUUAACCAAUGGUUUUCUACGGUUACGGUUGAUAACGGUUACGGUUAAUAUUUUUUUUAUAACCGUGAAUGAUUUAGUUUUUACGGUUAACGGUUAUAUUUUUUAACCGUUUUAUACGGUUACGGUUGAAAGUUAGAAAUACGGUUAAAGUUAGAUUUUGGUUAUACCUAGUAAGAAUACCUCUAAUAAAGCCUAUUAUUCAAAAUAGAAGUUUUACUCAUGUUAGUUUUAAUAGCCAAAAUUUCCGCUCAACAACCUUGUUCGUUUGCGAGUAAUGAAAUAAAACUAUUGGUGUAAGUUCCACCAUUCGUAGGAGUUUUUCCAUCUUGGAGUUAAUCAAAUAUUUGUUUCAUCCAUAUCUCUAUUAAUUUUUUCAGCCCAAAAGUUUGCUAUAAAUAAAACUACAAAAAUAAAUCAUUUCUCAAAGAAUGCUAAAACUUUUAUGGACUGCCUGUACUACUCUCCCUGAAAUAUAUCGUUUCAACUAGGUUCUUCCUAUACUUUCAGCCUCUGCCCAAUUUCACCUAUACGAUAUAUAUCUAUCAAAUUUCAUCCAAACUAUAUAAUUCUAUCCAAUUAACCAAAAUCAAUUAAAUUUUUCAAUAACGUUUUAUAAUUGAUAAUUAGAGUACACUAUACUGCGAUUUGAUUAAGUCUUACAUGAAUAUGAGAUCCCGUCUCUCUUUUUAACCGCAAAUGAACCCCCAUUUUAAGGUUUCAUCAAAAUCAAAUCAAUGGAAAAAAUAGAAAACAAAAUUAACGACUUUAAAAAGCGAAUUUUUGAUUUUAAAACGCAAUUGAGAAGCUAAAUGAUUUGGGUUAACCUUUUUUUAACCCCAAAUGAACCCCCACUUUUAGCUUUCAUGAAAAUCAAAUCAAUUUGAGAGAAAAUAGAAAACGCAAUUAUCAAUCUUAAAACACUAUUGAGAUUUUAAAAUGAUUUUGGUUGAUUGGAUAAAAUUAUAUAGUUUGGAUGUAAUUUGAUCGAAUAUAUAUCGUAUAGGUGGAAUUGGGCAGAGGCUGAAAAUAUAAAGGAAACCUAGUUGAAACGAUAUAUUACAGGAGGACUAGUACAUGCAUAUAUAAAAGUUUUGUUUUCUUUCUAAAUGCAUCUAUAUAUAUAAAAUUAACUUUUUCUCUAUUCUCCUUAUGCCACAUCAUCUUCCACAUCAGCUGCCACAUCAUCAUUUAUCUUAAUUUUUUUACAUUGAUUUAGAAUUACAACACUUUAGUUUUUAAUUUAUAGUCUACCUCAUAACUUAGCUUUUAUUUAAUUUUUAUAUUCAAUAGUGGUUUUAAGAAAAUAAAUAAUAUAGUAAAAACAUUUAUGUCCAAAAUAAAUAAAACAAGUAUCUAUUUAUAAAGUAAUGAUCAAUUUUUUAUUAAUGGGGCUAAAUACAAAACAAGGAUAUUUAUACUAUACAGAUAGAUAUACCACUAAAUUGAUGUCAUCCGAAGCCACAUCAAACGAGAACGCAAUCAAUUUUAGGCAUAAGAAGUAGAAAAAAAACUAAAAAGUAAAAUGAAAACACUUGGAUAAAUAAAUAAGUGGAUUCACCAGAAUAAUUUGGUUUACAAGAACUGAAGGCUUUUGAAAUGUAAGGUUCUAACAUCUAUUAUUUGACCUAAAUCAAAGUUAAACAAAUAACAAUAAAAAUUUCAUAUACUAAAUUAAUACAAAAACAAGAGUAAAAACAAAAAAUAAACAAAAAACAAAAAAAAAUUCAAAAUAUAAAAAAACAAUUAUAAAACUCCUGCGUGCAGCGCGGAUCAGCAACUAGUUGCAAAUAAAGCUUAAUUUUAUGAUACCUGAUUUGGUAACCUCUUUGGUUGAUUCUCUAUUAAUAUUUUCCGAUCUCUUGUACUGCAUAUUUUAAAAAGUAAUCUGAAAAUCAGUUAUUAUUCAUCCAUUACUGCUUGUGAGUCCUCCACUCCUCCGAAGAGUCAUCGGUAUAUAUAAACAUAGAAUUCUAUUUCUCACCCUUUUUCUGUAGAAGCAUGAAAACUUUUAACCAAAAAUUUCUAAUUUUUUUUUUCAGAUAUAACUCAAACAUCUUCUCUCUCUCUCUUCACAAAGAGAGUCAUUUUAGAGAAAAAAAAUUGUUUCACAAAAAAUGUCAUUCUACAUUUCCAAUGUAGAUUGUACAUUAAAUUUCCAAAUUUACCUAUAAACCAAAAGUUCAUUUUAUUAAUGUAAAAUUAUUAAUCAUUUAUUAAGUAAGGAUAAAUAUGUAUAGUUCAAAGUUUUCUAAAUUUGUGUGAAAAGCGUCAAAACAGAUGAAAUAUUAUUUUUUUCUAGAUUCUUGUGUGAUUACUCCUGCAAAACAUGAAGUCACCAUAUAAUUAGAUUCAUCCAAAGCCAACUUAAGAGAGAUGAUAUUCGUCUGGCCCUAGAGAGCAUCAUUUUUUCUUCACACAUUUUUAAUGGAAUAAUUGGAGAAAUAGACAGUUUUUGAAACAUAAUUGUAGAAAUAGUACAAUUACUAUUUACAAUUAGCAAAAUCCACAUUUUUACUAUGCUAUUUUAUUUCUUUGCCUUGUCAAUACUCAUCAAAACGUCUUAUUUACAACAAUGCCAUUAAUAUAUAAUUAAAUUAUAUUUUUCUUUCCUCUCAGAUUUUUAAUUAAUAUUUAUUUUUUUUUUCUUUUUUCUUUUUUAUUACAUUCUCCUUUCAAUCUAAAAACUAAAAUACUAGUCAAUGAAAAUUUUUAUUUUUACAAGUUUCAAAUAUAUAAAAAUCUAUGUUUUUUUCUCUAUUAUAUGAUAUGCAUUUUGUUUGAAGAUUUUAUUUGAUAAUAACAAAUAAUUUUUAUUAAUUUUAGAUAUGUACAAUUUACUAAGUGUACAGAUCUAAUCCGUACAACUUAAAACGUGUACAUAUGUACAUAUGUACAACUUAAUAAGUGUACAAAUAUUAGUAUACAAGUCGUAAACGAUUGUACACGUAUUUGUACAAUAGGAUAUAUGUACAAAUACAAUUGUACAGAUCAAACUGUAUAUUUAUUAUAUGUACAGAAAAAUGUAUGUAUAAAAACUAUAUACAAUGAUAUAUGUACAUAUAUAAUUGUAUGUAUAUUGACUAUUAUAUUGUAUUGUACACGUAUUUGUACAAUAUAAUAUAUAUGUACAAAUACAAUUGUACAGAUCAAACUGUACACAUAUUAUAUGUACAAAUGAAUUGUACAUUGUACAGAUGUCUUUUGUACAUCUACCCUUUUGUAAUUUACCACCACUACACUAUACCCCACUUUCUCAUCUAUCUCACACAUUCUGUAUCUCACAUAGUGGACCCAUUAUCUAUUUAUCCAAUUUUGAAUAGUAAAUGUACUAUAUCACAAAUUAAGUUUUGAAAAUGUACUAUAAUGCUAAUUUUCCCCAUUUUUAAUUUGCUUGUUUGAUUCAAAACUGAUUCAAUUGCCUUUUAAAGACCAUCUUUUCCGGUUAUCUCUUGUCAAAUAAGAUUAAUGUUUUCUUUUAUAUAUUUUCCUCACAUACAUUGAACAACUCUCUAAAAUCAGUCUAUAUGAUCAUGCCCAAUCUUUUGGAGGUAAAUCCAUUUUAGAAAAUGCUAACCGGCUUUUUCAUGUUUUCCUAAAAGGCAAUAAGCUCAUUGAAGUCUCCAAUCAUUAUUAUGUGAAACUUUACUACAUGAUUACUCGUUAUGUUUGGGUUUAUUCGGUUGUUUUUAGGGUUUAGUAUUUACUAUAAUGUAUGUCUUUUAGCAAAUUGUUUUUUGAAAAAUAGACAUUUUUAAAAGUUCAAAAAUAGGAAAUCUAUAAAAAUUUAACAAAUAUGGCAUAUUCGUAAAAUUUGUCAUAAAAAUGGUAUUUUCAGUAAGAACCCCCUUUAAAAAUCGCCACUAAACAAUAGCUCUUUGCGUCUGGAGCUUAUAAUAAAUAAAAAUUAAUCAAAAGAUUUCAACAUAUACGUGACUUUUAGACGAUUAACUCUUGAAUUUGAGAGGAUUUUGUUACCGUUUAAACUUUAAAGUCUGUCUCUGUCCAAACUUGCUGCAAAAAUAUUUUGUUACCCUUGUCCCUUCUAUAUGCUCCACUUAUUGAGUAUCAGUGUAUAUUUUCUGCCCAAGUAAAAAUAACAAUGCUAAUCCAAUAAUGAAGUUCUUGUGUUUAUCUCUACAUGUGUGAACACUGGCUUUAUAAGUUUAUCGAAAUAUCCAAAAGACUAGUGGGGUGUUACCAUUUAUGGUGUUUCAAAAUUAUUUUACAAUGAAUCCAACAUCCAACCAUAAGGGGUCCCGACUUAAUUAACUAAGAAGGCAUACAUACUUAGACUUUUCUACUGUGAUAAACUCCUUUGUUUUUUUUUAUUGGCUUAUGGAUUAGUUUAUUUGACUUUUCUCAUUCCCUCCUUUUCGCUUCCUAUAAAUAGAAGCCAUGCAGGGUAACAUUUUAUAUCCAUCACACGUUUUAACAUACUAAGAGAGUUACAAGAAGAACUUGAAACAAAAAUGGCUUCCAAGGCUUUGAUUCUGUUAGGUUUCUUCGCAGUUCUUUUCGUCGUCUCGGAAGUGGCUGCGGCAGCUGAGGCACAGUCCGGUACGUAAUAUGAUUAUAUAUAGAUUUCAUUCUAUUUAAUACCUUCCUUUGGAGGUUAUUCAUGAAGCUAACGUAACAUGUGAUGGUUCAUCCUAUAAUCUUGUCCUUUCGAAGUUUAUUUGGAGUCUCUCUAUAGCCAAAACACUUAAUACGAUUUUUACUCACUAAAUUUAUCAUACUAUCUCAAACUGUAUAUUAAAUUAUCUAAAUCGUAACAAAAACUUGUUAAGGAAUGCACAAUAUGCACGAGCUAAAUUGAAAUGAUAUGUUGUUUUGGACAGGCAAGGUUAAGAGCGAGGAAGCAGCUGUGAAACCUGAUCAAUAUAAUGGUGGAGGUUACAACAAUGGAGGAGGCUACAACAACGGAGGAGGCUACAACAAUGGAGGAGGAGGCUACAACAACGGAGGAGGAGGUUACAACAACGGAGGAGGAGGAUACAAUAACGGAGGAGGAGGCUACAACAGAGGAGGAGGCUACAACAGAGGAGGAGGAUACAACCGCGGAGGAGGUGGAGGUUAUUGCGGCCAUGGAUGCUGCUUCAGAGGAUACAAUGGCUGCAGAAGGUGUUGCUCGUACGCUGGAGAAGCUGUUCAGACUCAGCCUGGUCACUAAAACAAUACAACGAUGCAUGAUUAAUGCAUUAUGUGUGUAUCACGUUAAGUAAAAACCAUGGUGCCUUUGUAAUGAAGUGUCUCAAGUGUUUGAGGCAACAUAGAUAAAAA